GACGAACGCUGGCGGCGUGCCUAACACAUGCAAGUCGAACGAAGCACUUUUUCUUGAUUCUUCGGAUGAAGGAGAUAGUGACUGAGUGGCGGACGGGUGAGUAACGCGUGGGUAACCUGCCUCAUACAGGGGGAUAACAGUUAGAAAUGACUGCUAAUACCGCAUAAGCGCACAGUAUCGCAUGGUACAGUGUGAAAAACUCCGGUGGUAUGAGAUGGACCCGCGUCUGAUUAGCUAGUUGGUGAGGUAACGGCUCACCAUGGCGACGAUGUCUAGGGGAACUGAGAGGUUUAUCCCCACACUGGUACUGAGACACGGACCAGACUCCUACGGGAGGCAGCAGUGGGGAAUAUUGGGCAAUGGGGGAAACCCUGACCCAGCAACGCCGCGUGAAGGAAGAAGGCCUUCGGGUUGUAAACGUUCUUUACCUAGGACGAAGAACGUGACGGUACCUGGAGAAAAAGCAACGGCUAACUACGUG
rnacentral:rRNA from 1 species